UCUCCGUUGGUGAACCAGCGGAGGGAUCAUUACAGAGUUUUUAACUCCCAAACCCAUGUGAACUUACCAUUGUUGCCCCGGCGGAGCCUACCCUGUAGCUACCCUGUAGGGUGGUUACCCUGUAGCGCCCCGCCGGUGGAUUUUCAAACUCUUGUUAUUUUUAGUAAGCGGCGCGUCUUAUUUUAAAUAAGUCAAAACUUUCAACAACGGAUCUCUUGGUUCUGGCAUCGAUGAAGAACACAGC
rnacentral:misc_RNA from 1 species